UUUUUUUUUUGUGGAGGAACCGGCAGGAGCACUGCCUUUUCAUAUAAGAGGAACAAUCCUUUUACGCUGUGAAGGCUGUGACGAAGAAGCGUGAAGAGCGAAGGCCCAGAGGAGAGAGGCCAGAGGGAAGGCGACGCGGGAAGAGAUCAAAAGAGAAAGGCUAAGGGAGAAAAGCCAAGCGAGAGGAAGAAGCGAAAGAAAGAAAGUGAAAGUGUCUGGAAAAGACUGUUAAAAAAAGUGGGAAAAGCUCAGAAACAAAAGCGGCAAGGCGAAACCAGAUAUUCCUGUAUAUGCUACGCACGACCGAACCUGAUAAAGAAAUUUCAGCAAAGGGAAAAAAAGGGGAGAAAGAUUGAGAUAAAGAGCAAAAGGAACGAAAGGGACGAGAACUCCGAGCUUCCAGCCAUCUUUUCGCCGGAAAGAUGGCCGGGUUACGGGAUGAAUUUAACGAGAUUCGUCAGGAUCCAGGGACGCUACGCCUACGUUGUGUACGUAGAGUGCGUACGUGGGCGCUCGGGCUUUGGAUUCGGACGCUUUCCUUUUGGUUUGGGUCCGUCGUAGUGGAACUUGAUAGAUACUCCUACUACCACUACGUUGACACUUUCUUCCUCGAAGAAAGAAAAGUUACUACUACUACUACGUUGACACAGCGCGAUGUGAAAAAGUGGCGGGACACACACACGGUAUGGGAGGACGAACGCAUUGGAUUCGACGGCGGCGAAGAGGGAGGGGGCCGCCCGCCCUCUUUUCCUCUCAUCUGCUUGCCGGAAAAGAAAACCCCACGAAAUAUUGUCCGGGAAAAACGUCGUACGUACUAUCAUCAGGUGCAGCCGUGCCUCGCCGUGGUACAGUACAGCACAGCCUCACCGUCCCUACCAGUACUACGACUAUCACAACGUCCACUGUUCACGUCCCUGGUGAACCGUAGCAAGUAGACCCAUCCACAGUCACAGUGGAAGCAACGUGCUACUGUAAUUUCUACCUCAACAACACUGCACUCUUUCCAUUCUCCAGCAGCGAGCUCUGGCCGUGCGGCCGAAAAGCUCCUGUAAACGUUCGGCGCUGGCCCUGGCCGGGCCAGCCGGGGAAACAAGACAAGCACAGGUCGCCUCACCAACCAACCUGGCUACGGACCCGGGGCCAGGAGGCACGUACAGGCACAGGGGCUUAAAUGCAGCGCCAGAUGGUAAAUGCGUCGACGUCUCGGCCCAUGGGGAGCCUACCGACGGACGAAAGAAGCGAUGCACUGGCAGCCGCACUUUCGCGGCGUAUGUUGGGCAGCGAGAUGCAUCAGAUCGGAUGCGUGCCUGUACCGAAUAAUUGCUCCCGACGGACGGUACCGUGGGGGUUUGGCCGUUUAUGAGAAAUUUCACUCGAGUUCAUGAGAAGCGGUUUAGUUUCCAGAUGUACGAGUUCAAGAAAAGACGAUGCAGCCAACAGGAUUUUUAAUGACCUCUACUUGAAACGACGAUUCUGCAAGCCACCUUUCCCUGAACAACAUUGCUCAAGACAUUUCGCUUCUCUGUGUACCGCUGCACUGGUACUGGCUAUGGACCCUGAACAACUGCUGUUUCUACGCCAGCAUCAUCUACAGGGCACUAGAUUCAGAAGCUCAUCUUCCCUCCUUCGCGAGAGGCUUCACCUUGCGCCGAUGGCCGAAGCUGUUGACCAGAUCCUUGCGGGCGCACACCGGGAACAGGUGGACGCCGGGGAGCCUGAGGCGCCGCAGCACGUAGGGAAAGCUCAGCUGAUCCCGGGACGUGAACCUCACCACCUCGUUGAACCAGAGGCACAUGAAGAGGUUCGUCGAGGGGGCGUGAUCCCUCACAAUGGCCGAAGCUUCUGCCAGAGCUGUAAAUAAAAAAGGCAAACGAAUGAAUGAGAACCACACUUAUUAUCCGGGUUCAGAGGGCCGGACCACUGGCAGCAAAGGCCUCAAGGACGACGAACAUGUAUGAUUUGGGGCGAAACAUUGUGUUUACUACUGCUUGGAGCGUGCUUCUGGUUCUUCUACGUAGCCCACAUGUGGGCUAAAAAUGGCGUGUCCUGUAUCACUUGGAUGAGGUGCAGAAAGCCGGAAAGGAGCCAUAGCUUUUAUGCUCAACGCAUGCAACUGGCCAGCCUUUAUAGCUCAUGCCUUUUGCACAAUCACAGCUGCGCAGGUAGUAACACCAAGCAUGGUUAUCUAGAGUACUACGACAUGAUGUAUUUUUAUUUCUUUCACUACGUGUCUGGCCCAGCACCCUAAGGCCCAUGCCCUGCUCUGCAAAUACGACAUUGAUGUCUGCUCUCGUUUAAGCUCAUCCUGCUGACUUUUCCUAUGAGGUGAAUGAAUGGCCAGGGCCAGCCAUCUAUGUUGCACACUACGCGGGGCAUAACGUGAGAGCCAGCCAGCCAGGUAGUAGUGAUAUUGAUGUGCAAUCUAGAGAAACAAAACUAUGCAAGGCAUGAUAAGAACGGUGAAAGCGAACAAUGGCAAGCAAGUCAGGAUUACAAGCUAACCUUUCUUCCUGUUGAAUCGUUUGUCAUCUGGAAUGCCAUCUUGUCGGUACUGAUCCAACUGUAUUUUAACUUCUUCUGGGGUUGCUUUGUGUUUCCUAACAAUCGCGUUACCCUCGUCAUACAAGCUGCUCCGAGCUCCAUGUUCCGAUAAUGCCAAGGAAGAGUUUGAGCGCCACAGAAGGGCCUCAAUGACUCCUAGUGGAUCUCUCCGGAACUGGGAUUUCGAAUCCACCCAAAUCGAGUAUCUUGCCAUAGGAAAAAGGCGAUGGCUUAUCAGCUGAAGACAAUAGAACAGCAAAAUGGAAGUCAGCUUCUGACGGAAAGGAUUCACCCUACACAGGCAUCAUAUGCACUGAUCAUAGAAUGUACUCCCUCUGUAAAAACGAUCUUAUAUUAGUUUACAGAGGGAGUAUGUAAUAUCUGUUCUUGAAAAAAUAGAAUGUAAUAUCUGCAAGACAAUCUCCUCCUAGCUCUGUUGUCCAUAGAGUACAACAAGAUGAAUACUGGAAACACAAUGUUGAGGCUUCUACUAACACUUUUUAUCUCAUCAAGACAAUGAAGGCACAGGGUUUUCAGAUGGUACCUUGGGAAUUUUGCCAUUCAGCCGUUGAUCUGUGAAAGGAAGGUCUCUCACAAGAAUGAUCCUCCAAAGGCCAAUCCUGAGAUCUUCACCAAUCUUCUUACCUUCCUCAUGUUGAGCUGAGAGAGUGACUUCAUCCCAGAAUGCAACAUAGCAUACCUAGCAAAACAACAAGUAUCAGCAGAUAGGCAGGAAAGAAGCUCAAGACAUCAACACACAAUGCAAGAUAAAUACUAAACCUUUUUGACAGAUACUUCUGUCAUCCCUAUAGGCUGGUGAAGGUCAUCCCCUCCACCAAACGCACAAGUGGCCACAACAACUCUGCAAGAUCUCAUGUAAUCUUUAUCUACAUCAGAAACUCUGAACCCUCCAUUUUCACUGUAGAAGCCACAGUGAACCGCUGUAGUUUCCUUUGGCUGCAGCAUUAGUAGAAUUAAAAAAAGCGAGGAUGGCAGCUAACACAGAAUUUUCCGCAGUUUAGCAUUUUGAUUUUUGACAAUGUUUAUCAUGUACUCCCUCUGUCCCAUAAUGUAAGACGUCUUUUGACUCUAGUGUAGUGUCAAAAAACGUCUUACAUUAUGGGACGGAGGGAGUAGUAUCUACUAUCUGCACAUAUGGUAUUCUUAUACACAUACUAAACAGGAACACACAUAUUUCAUAGAGGCAACUCCAAUAUCUUACAUAAUUUUCAAAAACUUCAUGAAAUAUAGAGCCUGAACAAAACCUUGAAACUCUCUUCUCUUUCAGUAAGGGUCUGAUAUCCCGUGAAUGAAUUAAAUCGCGAAUUCGUCAUAUGGGAUGAAAUGUUAUCUUCAAGAUGGGGCAGACUGGACCUGUACACAACUUCCUUGACUGGCAGAUUUUGUUCAGGGGGUUCAUGAAGUUCCAGAUUUUGAAGCAUCUCAGUAUCGAGCAUCUUCAGGCAUGCUGUCAAUAUAACACCGAAUUCAUCAGGAAGCACAUGUCAUAAUGAUUUACACUGAUAUUUGAUCUAAGGAAUAAUCACACUGUUACUCUAGAAGUCGAAAAGAUAGAAAAAGAAACAAAAUAGCAUAGUAUACCAGAAGAAGUCAAAAGAAUCAAUAUCAAAGAUGGGCUAGAACCUUACAUGUGCUAAACAAAAGAGAGUUAGUAGCUAACAUUUCCUAUUACUCAGUACAUGGAUAACUUUCACAAGAGUAAUUUAGCACAUCAGAAUAAGCCACAUAUAACACGCUGUACAAUUGCAUUAAGGCUGAAGGAUAAAUCGGCACCUCACUUUGAGUUUGAAUAACCUUAAGUCCCUAACAUUCAUACAAACGAUUUUGGGCAACUUGCAUUAUUGAACGCCCAUACCAGCCGCUAAAAUAGAUCCUCUGAGUAGCAUUGAAAGUAAGCAGUAAACAGGGGAAACUACAAUCAACAGAUCAGAUUGCAUCAUACAGAUCAGAAAAUAAAUAGAUCGCUCAAUAAUAGGGAUAUAAACCUACAGCACAGCUAAGCAGGUCACUGGGUCAGCUCAUAUACUGCGGUAUCACCUCCAUCACCACAAUACAGACUAACUGAACAAGUCAUUAUAAUAUAGCCAGACCUACAGAUCGCCAAAUUAAAAUAACAAAUAACAGGAUUAAACUAAGACGCAGUUCUAUCCACGCCAAUUUAGGGUUUAGCUAUCAGGGGCGAGCUUACACUUCCGGGCGCGGUCGACGCGGCUGAGGUUGCCGGCGGCCUGCGUCGGAGGCGGCGGCGGGGGCGAGGAGGACGAGUAGAACGGGGAGAGGCGGUAGUACUCAUAGGCGAAUAGGGAGACGGCGAGGGCGGCGAGGAGGAGCGGGCCGCCCAGCCGCGCGGCGCGGCGGAGGAAGCGGCGGUGGGCCGAGACCGGGUGGCGGUUGCGCUUGCGGCGCACGCGGACGCGCACCUUCCCGGAGGCCUCGUCGUCGUCGGAGACCGAGAUGGAGAUGCCUUGGAUCAGCGACGACGAGGACGACAUGGGUGGACGGACGGAGCUGGGGACGACGAGGAGAGAGGGUUCGGCUUCCGUGGUGGGCUCGGUUAGGCCGCGCGUGCCGGAAUCGUGAUGGGCCUCGUUCGGCUCGGUCGGUGUGUGGUGGACUGCUCUGUUUCUCUCUGCAGUCCCUGUCCCGCUCCAGCAGAAUUGCCACACCAGUCAACAUCUAUUUCUACUUUUUUGAUUGAAAUCAAAACCACAAUUCAAUUAAAUGAGAGAAAUUUCGAUUUUAACAUUUGAAGUUCUGCAGUCCAACCAGAUACGAAGAGGCGACAUAUUUGUUCACAUUUCAAAUCUCCAUCAGAAAAACAGAGUAUCACUCUACAAAUUGCCACGGGAACAUGUACAUUAUGUUGAUAGCUUUUCGAAUGACCUCAUAUACGCUCCGAAAAUACCAGGUCCCCACCUACACAAGCAAAUUGUUGAUAAAACUCCAAAAUAGCUUUUUCUUUUGACUCAAUCCUCUUCUUCUCUUUAGCAUUCGGGAAAGACAAGAAAAUUUCAGGGUAGAACAUUAUCUAGAAUUUCUCUUAGAUUCGAACCCAUAGCUGAUGAUAGAACUAGAAUAGAUAUCUUUUGUUUUCUACUCACGCGAGCCCAU
rnacentral:lncRNA from 1 species